GGUGCAGUAGCUCAGUGAUAGUGCUUCCGCUUCAUGUGCCGGAAGACCUGGGUUUGAUUCCCGGCUGCUUCC
rnacentral:tRNA from 1 species